rnacentral:rRNA from 1 species
UACGAAGGGGGCUAGCGUUGCUCGGAAUCACUGGGCGUAAAGGGCGCGUAGGCGGCCAUUCAAGUCGGGGGUGAAAGCCUGUGGCUCAACCACAGAAUUGCCUUCGAUACUGUUUGGCUUGAGUUUGGUAGAGGUUGGUGGAACUGCGAGUGUAGAGGUGAAAUUCGUAGAUAUUCGCAAGAACACCAGUAGCGAAGGCGGCCAACUGGACCAAUACUGACGCUGAGGCGCGAAAGCGUGGGGAGCAAACAGG